UAGAAGGAUGGUUAAUUGAUCAGUGAUCUCCCUGCUUGACCUCCUGUUGUGAUCCGAUUGAUUCCAAUGAGGUUGAGUGCUGUGGAUCAACAAGCACGACUGUGAGUAGUGUUUGGUCUUGCAUUGUGAUGGCGUCUGAGUGUUGGCUUGGUCUCUGUUGGCUUGCUACAUAUCUAGAAAGCUCCAUGAUUUGUGCUAAGCUCAAAAUAUCAGUAGAUUUGUUGUGGUAGUGCCUUAACAGGAUUUGAGACUUCUCCAUUCAGGAAAAGACAAGUCCGGUAGAUACAAAAAUUACAAGAUCGCAAGU